rnacentral:rRNA from 1 species
GAUGAACGCUGGCGGCGUGCUUAACACAUGCAAGUCGAACGAUGAAGCCCAGCUUGCUGGGUGGAUUAGUGGCGAACGGGUGAGUAACACGUGAGUAACCUGCCCUUGACUCUGGGAUAAGCCUGGGAAACUGGGUCUAAUACCGGAUACGACCAUUGCCCGCAUGGGUUGGUGGUGGAAAGCUUUUGUGGUUUUGGAUGGACUCGCGGCCUAUCAGCUUGUUGGUGAGGUAAUGGCUCACCAAGGCGACGACGGGUAGCCGGCCUGAGGGGGUGACCGGCCACACUGGGACUGAGACACGGCCCAGACUCCUACGGGAGGCAGCAGUGGGGAAUAUUGCACAAUGGGCGAAAGCCUGAUGCAGCGACGCCGCGUGAGGGAUGACGGCCUUCGGGUUGUAAACCUCUUUCAGUAGGGAAGAAGCGAGAGUGACGGUACCUGCAGAAGAAGCGCCGGCUAACUACGUG